rnacentral:tRNA from 1 species
GGGGGUGUAGCUCAGUGGUAGACCAUUCGACUGCAGAUCGAGAGGUCCCUGGUACAAUCCCGGGCACCCCCU